AACGGCCGUACCAUGCUGAAUAUAUCGGUUCUCGUUAGAUCACCGAAGUCAAGCAUCGUUGGGCGCGGUCAGUACUUGGGUGGGUGACCACCUGGGAACACCGCGUGC
rnacentral:rRNA from 1 species